rnacentral:rRNA from 1 species
CCUACGGGUGACAGCAGUGAGGAAUAUUGGUCAAUGGACGAGAGUCUGAACCAGCCAAGUAGCGUGAAGGAUGACUGCCCUAUGGGUUGUAAACUUCUUUUAUAUGGGAAUAAAAUGUUCCACGUGUGGGAUUUUGUAUGUACCAUAUGAAUAAGGAUCGGCUAACUCCGUUCCAGCAGCCGCGGUAAUACGGAGGAUCCGAGCGUUAUCCGGAUUUAUUGGGUUUAAAGGGAGCGUAGGUGGUUUGUUAAGUCAGUUGUGAAAGUUUGCGGCUCAACCGUAAAAUUGCAAUUGAAACUGGCAGUCGUGAGUACAGUAGAGGUGGGCGGAAUUCGUGGUGGAGCGGUGAAAUGCUUAGAUAUCACGAAGAACUCCGAUUGCGAAGGCAGCUCACUGGACUGCAACUGACACGGAGGCUCGAAAGUGUGGGUAUCAAACAGGAUUAGAUACCCCGGUAGUC